rnacentral:rRNA from 1 species
CCUACGGGAGGCAGCAGUGGGGAAUAUUGGACAAUGGGCGAAAGCCUGAUCCAGCAAUGCCGCGUGAGUGAUGAAGGCCUUAGGGUCGUAAAGCUCUUUUACCAGGGAUGAUAAUGACAGUACCUGGAGAAUAAGCUCCGGCUAACUCCGUGCCAGCAGCCGCGGUAAUACGGAGGGAGCUAGCGUUGUUCGGAAUUACUGGGCGUAAAGCGUACGUAGGCGGUUAUUCAAGUCAGAGGUGAAAGCCCGGGGCUCAACCCCGGAACGGCCUUUGAAACUAGGUAGCUAGAGUCUUGGAGAGGUCAGUGGAAUUCCGAGUGUAGAGGUGAAAUUACGUAGAUAUUCGGAAGAACACCAGUGGCGAAGGCGACUGACUGGACAAGUACUGACGCUGAGGUACGAAAGCGUGGGGAGCAAACAGGAUUAGAUACCCUGGUAGUCCACGCCGUAAACGAUGAUAACUAGCUGUUCGGGUACUUGGUAUCUGAGUGGCGCAGCUAACGCAUUAAGUUAUCCGCCUGGGGAGUACGGUCGCAAGAUUAAAACUCAAAGGAAAUUGACGGCUGAGACNGCGAGACGACACGAGGAGGAGGAG